rnacentral:rRNA from 1 species
UCGAGCGAAGCUUUUCAGUAGUUUACUACAGAAAAUGACUGAGCGGCGAACGGGUGAGUAACGCGUGAGCAAUCUACCUUAGUUACAGGGAUAGCCCGAGGAAACUCGGAUUAAUACCUGAUAUUCUUUAAAUUUCGCAUGAAAUUAUAAGGAAAGGUCAGCCGAACUAAGAUGAGCUCGCGUUCUAUCAGCUAGUUGGUGAGGUAAAAGCUCACCAAGGCAACGACGGAUAGCUGGUCUGAGAGGACGAUCAGCCACACUGGGACUGAGACACGGCCCAGACUCCUACGGGAGGCUGCAGCAGGGAAUAUUGCGCAAUGAGCGAAAGCUUGACGCAGCGACACCGCGUGUGGGAUGACGGAUCUAGGUUUGUAAACCACUUUCAGGAGGGAAGAAAAUGACGGUACCUCCACAAGAAGCCCCGGCCAACUACGUGCCAGCAGCCGCGGUAAUACGUAGGGGGCGAGCGUUGUCCGGAUUUAUUGGGCGUAAAGAGCUCGUAGGCGGUUCAACAAGUCGGUCGUAAAAGUUCAGGGCUC